rnacentral:rRNA from 1 species
UGGGGAAUAUUGCACAAUGGGGGAAACCCUGAUGCAGCGACGCCGCGUGAACGAAGAAGGUAUUCGUAUCGUAAAGGUCUGUCCUAUGGGAAGAUAAUGACAGUACCAUAGAAGAAAGCUCCGGCUAAAUACGUGCCAGCAGCCGCGGUAAUACGUAUGGAGCGAGCGUUGUCCGGAAUUAUUGGGCGUAAAGGGUACGCAGGCGGUUUAAUAAGUCGAAUGUUAAAGAUCGGGGCUCAACCCCGCAAAGCAUUGGAAACUGAUAAACUUGAGUAGUGUAGAGGAAAGUGGAAUUCCUAGUGUAGUGGUGAAAUACGUAGAUAUUAGGAGGAAUACCAGUAGCGAAGGCGACGUUCUGGACACAAACUGACGCUGAGGUACUAAAGCGUGGGGAGCAAACAGG